UGACAUCCAGAGAACUUUCCAGAGAUGGAUUGGUGCCUUCGGGAACUCUGAGACAGGUGCUGCAUGGCUGUCGUCAGCUCGUGUUGUGAAAUGUUGGGUUAAGUCCCGCAACGAGCGCAACCCUUAUCCUUUGUUGCCAGCGGUCCGGCCGGGAACUCAAAGGAGACUGCCAGUGAUAAACUGGAGGAAGGUGGGGAUGACGUCAAGUCAUCAUGGCCCUUACGAGUAGGGCUACACACGUGUUACAAUGGCGCAUACAAAGAGAAGCGACCUCGCGAGAGCAAGCGGACCUCAUAAAGUGCGUCGUAGUCCGGAUUGGAGUCUGCAACUCGACUCCAUGAGGUCGGAAUCGCUAGUAAUCGUGGAUCAGAAUGCCACGGUGAAUACGUUCCCGGGCCUUGUACACACCGCCCGUCACACCAUGGGAGUGGGUUGCAAAAGAAGUAGGUAGCUUAACCUUCGGGAGG
rnacentral:rRNA from 1 species